GUAGUGGUUCGAUUGGUAAGACACCUGCCUUCAGUGCUGGGGGAUGGAGUUCGAAUCUCACGCUAUCAACA